rnacentral:rRNA from 1 species
UUCCGGUGGUGGAUUAGUGGCGAACGGGUGAGUAACACGUGGGCAAUCUGCCCUUCACUCUGGGACAAGCCCUGGAAACGGGGUCUAAUACCGGAUAACACUCUGUCCCGCAUGGGACGGGGUUGAAAGCUCCGGCGGUGAAGGAUGAGCCCGCGGCCUAUCAGCUUGUUGGUGGGGUAAUGGCCUACCAAGGCGACGACGGGUAGCCGGCCUGAGAGGGCGACCGGCCACACUGGGACUGAGACACGGCCCAGACUCCUACGGGAGGCAGCAGUGGGGAAUAUUGCACAAUGGGCGAAAGCCUGAUGCAGCGACGCCGCGUGAGGGAUGACGGCCUUCGGGUUGUAAACCUCUUUCAGCAGGGAAGAAGCGAAAGUGACGGUACCUGCAGAAGAAGCGCCGGCUAACUACGUGCCAGCAACCGCGGUAAUACGUAGGGCGCAAGCGUUGUCCGGAAUUAUUGGGCGUAAAGAGCUCGUAGGCGGCUUGUCACGUCGGAUGUGAAAGCCCGGGGCUUAACCCCGGGUCUGCAUUCGAUACGGGCUAGCUAGAGUGUGGUAGGGGAGAUCGGAAUUCCUGGUGUAGCGGUGAAAUGCGCAGAUAUCAGGAGGAACACCGGUGGCGAAGGCGGAUCUCUGGGCCAUUACUGACGCUGAGGAGCGAAAGCGUGGGGAGCGAACAGGAUUAGAUACCCUGGUAGUCCACGCCGUACACGUUGGGAACUAUGUGUUGGCGACAUUCCACGUCGUCCGUGCCGCAUCUCACGCAUUAAGUUCCUCGCCUGGUGAG